GCCUUCGUGGUGAAAUGGUAGACACUUAUGAUUCAAAAUCAUAUGCUAUAUAUAGCGUACCGGUUCAAGUCCGGUUGAAGGUA
rnacentral:tRNA from 1 species